UGGGGAAUUUUGGACAAUGGGGGCAACCCUGAUCCAGCCAUGCCGCGUGUGUGAAGAAGGCCUUCGGGUUGUAAAGCACUUUCGGCCGGAACGAAAUCGCGCGGAUUAACACUCCGCGUGGAUGACGGUACCGGAAGAAGAAGCACCGGCUAACUACGUGCCAGCAGCCGCGGUAAUACGUAGGGUGCGAGCGUUAAUCGGAAUUACUGGGCGUAAAGUGUGCGCAGGUGGCCGCGCAAGUCGAGUGUGAAAUCCCCGGGCUUAACUUGGGAAUUGCGCUCGAAACUACGUGGCUGGAGUGUGGCAGAGGAAGGUGGAAUUCCACGUGUAGCGGUGAAAUGCGUAGAGAUGUGGAGGAACACCGAUGGCGAAGGCAGCCUUCUGGGCCAACACUGACACUCAUGCACGAAAGCGUGGGGAGCAAACAGG
rnacentral:rRNA from 1 species